AGUAGUACAGGGUGUACGGAGCACAAGAAACUAACACAGGACUUUACUUGGAGCCAGAAAAAACACCUCAGGCCUAAAACAGGGAAGACCAAGGAGCUUGUGGUGGACUCCAGGAGGCACCAUCUUUCUCCCACCACACCAGUGAACAUCCAGGAAACAGACAGACACAUCCAGCAGGCAGCCAUUACAGAGCGGAACAGGCUGCCGGAUCUAAAUGAGGCUAAGACGGGAUUUGAUGGAGCCUUAUCAGAGUGUGAGCAGAUGGAAGCCUGAGCAUCUCCAUCAGCUGAUCCUGCUAGAAAGACUAGGACAAGGCUGAGACGAUCCUUGAGGAACAAAACCAGGAGAAGUCAUCACUGGAGGACUACAACUGAUUAUCAAGUGGAUCAUCCAGAGAGUUCCGCCGAUUUAGGUGCAGCACCCAGUGGUUCAAUGGAGGAAAAACAUGAAAACACAUGAGAACCAAUCAGCCAAUCAAGACAAGCAACUCCUAUGAUGAGUAACACAGAGGUUCUGCAUCCACCAUCUGCCGAUACUUGCCAAUCAACAAGCAGCCAUGGAUCUGAAGAUGAAUGUUUAAUGGCUGAGUCAAAUCAAGAUGCAAACCACUCGUUAAAUGAUGAGGCAGAUCUUGCCCUUGCAAUCCAAGCAUCUCUUGAGGAAUUCGAAGUACACUUUGAACCCGUUAUUGGUGAUGAUGGGGAUAAUCAAGACUCCACCCUUCCCUGGAAUCCACAUGACUUUAACAGUAUGCAGGUAUAGUUUAAAACUAAGCUCUAACAUUACUGCCAUGGAUG